rnacentral:rRNA from 1 species
GGUGUGACGGCGUGCCUUUUGUAGAAUGAGCCAGCGAGUCAGACGCGCGCGGCGAGGUUAAGCUUGGAAGCGAGCCGCAGAGAAGUCGAGUCCGAACAGGGCGUCGAGUCGCGCGCGCUGGACGCGAAGCCGGGUGAGCUAUCCCUGGGCAGGCUGAAGCGGGGGUAAGACCCCGUGGAGGGCCGAACGGCAGUACGUUGAAAAGUGCUCCGAUGACCUGGGGAUAGGGGUGAAAGGCCAAUCAAACCCGGAGAUAUCUCGUUCUCCCCGAAAUAGCUUUAGGGCUAGCGUCGGCCGUUCUCCGGCGGAGGUAGAGCACCGGACGGGUGAGGGGGCUUCGCCGCCUACCGAUCCCGACCGAACUCCGAAUGCCGCCGGAUCAGAGGCCGGCAGUCAGAGCAUGUGGGCUAAGCUGUGUGCUCGAGAGGGAAACAGCCCAGACCGCCCGCCAAGGCCCCCAAGUCCGUGCCGAGUGGCAAAGGAUGUGCGUCCGCCCAGACAGCCAGGAGGUUGGCUUAGAAGCAGCCACCCCUUCAAAGAGUGCGUAACAGCUCACUGGCCGAGUGGACAUGCGCCGACAAUACACGGGGCUAAGCACGGCGCCGAAGCGGCGGAUACGUUUGACGUAUGGUAGGGGAGCGUCCCGCGGGGGGCGAAGCCGGAGGGCGACCGACGGUGGACCGCGCGGGAGCGAGGAUGCUGGCAUGAGUAGCGAGAGUGGAGAGGGUAACUCCACCGCCGUGAACCCGAGGUUUCCUGGGCGAGGCUAAUCCCCCCAGGGUCAGUCGGGGGCUAAGGCGAGGCCGGAAGGCGUAGCCGAAGCGCAGCAGGCAGACAUUCCUGCACCGCGCACGCGGCGCUAUGACCGAUGCGGCGACGGAUGGGGGUGGCUCGGCCGGGUUCUGGACGUCCCGGUGAUGGAGCGCGGCCCGUCGGGGAGGGAAGUCCCCCCGGCGCGAGGGUUAGGCUCCGGACGAAGCGACUGAGCGAAGCGAGUGAGCCCGUGGUCCCUAGAAAAACCGCUAGGCAGGCGCGUGCGCGCCCGUACCGCAAACCGACACAGGUGGGUGGGUAGAACAUACCGAGGCGAUCGGGUCAACCGUGGUCAAGGAACUCGGCACAAUGGCCCCGUAACCUAGGGAGAAGGGGUGCCCCCGCGUACGUGAACCGGCUCGCCCGGGGAGCGGAGGGGGGCCGCAGUGAAGAGGCCCAAGCGACUGUUUACCAAAAACACAGGACUCUGCAGAAGCCGCAAGGCGACGUAUAGGGUCUGACGCCUGCCCGGUGCCGGAAGGUCACGCGGAGGGGUCAGCCGCAAGGCGAAGCUCCGAAGCCAAGCCCCGGUAAACGGCGGCCGUAACUAUAACGGUCCUAAGGUAGCGAAAUUCCUUGUCGGGUAAGUUCCGACCUGCAC